UACGGAGGGGGCUAGCGUUGUUCGGAAUUACUGGGCGUAAAGCGCACGUAGGCGGCUUUGUAAGUUAGAGGUGGAAGCCCGGGGCUCAACUCCGGAAUUGCCUUUAAGACUGCAUCGCUCGAAUUGUGGAGAGGUAAGUGGAAUUCCGAGUGUAGAGGUGAAAUUCGUAGAUAUUCGGAAGAACACCAGUGGCGAAGGCGACUUACUGGACACAUAUUGACGCUGAGGUGCGAAAGCGUGGGGAGCAAACAGG
rnacentral:rRNA from 1 species